UGGGGAAUAUUGCACAAUGGGCGCAAGCCUGAUGCAGCGACGCCGCGUGAGGGAUGGAGGCCUUCGGGUUGUAAACCUCUUUCGCCAGUGAAGCAGGCCAUCUUCUUUGUGGGGUGGUUGACGGUAGCUGGAUAAGAAGCGCCGGCUAACUACGUGCCAGCAGCCGCGAUAAUACGUAGGGCGCGAGCGUUGUCCGGAAUUAUUGGGCGUAAAGAGCUCGUAGGCGGCUGGUCGCGUCUGUCGUGAAAUCCCCUGGCUUAACUGGGGGCUUGCGGUGGGUACGGGCCGGCUUGAGUGCGGUAGGGGAGACUGGAAUUCCUGGUGUAGCGGUGGAAUGCGCAGAUAUCAGGAGGAACACCGGUGGCGAAGGCGGGUCUCUGGGCCGUUACUGACGCUGAGGAGCGAAAGCGUGGGGAGCGAACAGG
rnacentral:rRNA from 1 species